rnacentral:lncRNA from 1 species
CAAGAUGGCAGUGCAAACUCGCUGAAAAAAUGUGAAAACGGAAGAAGAACAGGGUUGUCUAAAUGUCGUCAUUCAUCACAUCGAAUGACGUCGACAAACGACUUUCGCGUCGUUACGCACAAUUGAAUACAGUUUACCGACGAAAACUGAAGGAUGUUUACAAAACACGAAUAAAUAAAAAAAACAACUGAAAGCCGACAGAGUGACCGAGGACACUAAGCAAUUCCACGCAUUGACAAGGAGUUGACAGAAGAUGAAGUAUAAGCAAAAGAGGAUGAAUCUGGUAGAGAGCAAGAGCAUAUAGAAGGAUAGACGGAAUAACCAUCAACGCAGCGCUAGACGCAUUUAAAUUCUCUUUCAUCCAGAAAGCCAAAGGUCACAAGGCCUGCACAUGUGCCACAGUCGGAUCGAUCGACAAUGGUUCACCGUCUACUAGCUCGUCGAUUGCAACAUGAUAGAGCACUCACCUUGACUCGUUGCAGGUCAAUAGGGUUCAUUAUGGAGCCCUGGAAAAAUUCCACGGUGGUAAAAUGUCGCUUGAAAAGACCCUCAAGUUCCAGGUCUGGUGGCUUUCUACAAACACGGUUAUGGGUAAUCAUCAAAAAUAGAAAAAGCUGUUAAUGGAUAAAAAGAAGAAGAAAAAAAACCAAAUCGAAACAAUCAACAACCACGAAAUAUUUUUCAUCACGAUAUCCGCAUGCCUCGCUAAUCUAAAACCACAGUCCCAGAAUAGGAAAACCACAAACGUAAAUCAAAAGGUAUGUUGAGUAUACGAGUGGAAGAUGUCAAUCCAAUGAUGACUCGUCAAUCGAAUUCCCUUUCCAUUUUUCUAUUCCAUUCGUCUUCCUUCCACACAAGUUCACCGAUGUCACAUCUUAUCAGUUGCUACGUUUCUCUGAUUUAAAAAUAUCCAGGUAUCUCUAGUUAGCUACCGUAAAAAUAAUAAUGUUUCGGCCAUAUGUAUUAAUGAGAUAAGCUUGAGAAGAUUUAAAAAAAUAAAGCCAACGGAUCUGCAAAACGACGAAGAUCUCUUAAUAGCUCUUUGGAGAAGACCUUAUGGAAAUACUGGCUGGAUAUUUUGCAAUCUUGCUACCGACUCCGCCGCAAAAAGUGGAAGACAAGUUGAAAGAAAUAAAAGAAUGUGAAAAAAAAAGUGGAAAACACACUGAGUUGUAUGAAUGUGUUAAUAAGAAAAUACCGAGAAAAAAAAACGAUGUAGAUAAAAGAGGAAUAGGAAAUUUUAAGUGAGAGAGAGAGAGAGAGGCGGGAGGCAAGCAGUUUGUCACGGUGCGUAUAUUGUUUUGUUUGGUUCUGUUCUCGAUCUACCUUGACCCUUUGCAAAUCAACGGCAUUCAUCAUGGAGCCCUGAAAAAACUUGACGGUGGUGGAGUGCCUCUUCAGCAGGCCUUCCAGCUCCAAAUCGGGUUCUUUCCUGUUUCACACGGGCAACGCAGACAAAAGAAACACGGCUCAGUUCUUUCUUUUACCGAUUUUUGAACGUAAUAAUGUGGCAAAAAGAAAAAGUAGGCUUAUGUGUAGUUUCAUAAUGUAUGUAGACUACCAUCAACAUCUUCUUUUGUAUUCCGUUUUCAAAAAUGUAUAGUGCUGCUGUCGGCUGUUCGAGGAUUAUUAGCCUAAUAAUAGACAACCUCCAUUCAGGUAAUGACGUCAAUGGGUCUUCUCCUCUCUACGAGACACAUAUUCACGAAUCGAUGCAUUUACUUUCUCCCCUUCCAUUUGCCGACUUCAAACUUCCCUUUAGGUACACGGAGUUCAGAUUAAAACGUGCCCGCUGAAACAGAAUACAUUUCUGUCGUGACUGAUCUAUACAGAACGUGACGUCAGUACUACUAUAA